rnacentral:lncRNA from 1 species
GCGAGGGCUCCAUCGCGGUGCAUGUGGGCACCAGGCACGAUGCCAGCGGCUGCAAGGGCGGCGCCGAGCCUGCCUACGACGCGCUGUCGCCCCUGGCGGCCGCCCGCCGCAUGGGCUCCGACGCGGCGGCGCUGCUGCCGGGUGUGCUGCUGGUGCACGGCACUGCGGACAAGACCGUGCCGUGUGAGGGCAGCGCGCGGCUGGCGGAGGCGCUGCAGGUAGGGUGGGGCGGGCAGUGGCACUUGUGGUCAUGUGCACUCUUGAAUGCGAGCACACACCGUCACACAUAACUUAUGUAGCUGACCGCGUACACGUGUCCCUACUCGCAGACUGCCGGCGCCACCCGUCCUGUGCGCUGCUUGCUUGUGCCCGGCAAGACGCACACGGCCUUCCUGCUGGAGGACCCCAUGCGUGGAGGCCGCGACCUGCUCAUGGACUGCGUGCUGGGGGCCGUGCUAGGGGGAGGCGAGGGCGAGGGCGACACGGGCAAGCCGGUUGUGAGCGUGCUGUCGGCCGAAGACGCCGCGCCGCCUGGUGUGAGGCACGUUUACGGUACCCUGUGCCCUGGCUUCCUGUGCGACUGGGCGGGCUGGGUGUGCCCGUUCUGAGCGCCAGCCGGUCAUUCACUCCGAGGCGCGUGCCGAUGACGCUGAUGCGUCCUGAGGGCACCGUUGGGCAGUUGUCAAGGCUGGCCAGAGUGCUGUAUGCAGUCUAUCCAUACCGUCUGAACUACAAUACGCGGAUUGACCCGCUAUGUAUGUUGGAGUGCCAGAGUGCGUGGUCGAGAUGGGGGACUUAGCCGACAUGCGUGACGUUCAUCAGGCGGGCACUGCAGCGCAUGUGAAAGGAGCGUGUAGGGUAUAGACUAGCAGCACGCUUCGCUGAGGUAUGCCAAAUAGAGCAGCUGGCAUUUCGUGUGACUACACUGCGCAUGCCCUUCGUGUAGAGCGGGUUAUUCUUGCAGUGGCAUUUUGAUUACGUUUGUACUCGCCUGACACGAUCCUGGUCAUCGGCAUUCUUUCUUUGAGGUAUCGCUUAUUGCGUUAGUACUGGGUAUGGCUGACUACGCCAACGAGUAGUGUCGGUGGGGUGCGGCUGCCUGACAGCCAUUGCUGCAGGUGGCUGCCUGGAGCAGAACGCGCGACAUGUGUGUGUACGGUAGCCUCGCCGUUUCUUGUCUGGUAGCCUUGGGUCGAUGUUGAUUGACGUUCUUGGGUUCCAUGUGGGCAGGGUGUGCUGGAGUCCUGGUAGGAGAGGUGGGGAGUGCCUGAAGGCAGGAUGAGGCGGCUCUGUGCGCCUGUGCGAGUUCGGUGUAGGUGACGCUAGGUGGCUCAGGAGUUAGGGGGGUUGUGGCUUAGGGGGAUGUGCGGCCGAGCACAGUGCGGUUCGCAACGCCAGAGCAGACCUCCGUGCGGAGCGUUGCGGGAGUCUGUAUUGUUGCACAGAGUAGCGCAUGAUGCGGCAUGCACGGGCAAACGGCAUUUUGCUGAAUCAGAGAAUUCAACCCGCCUGACUAGUUCACACAGCUGCUGGAGUCGUACGAAUUGCGCGUGGGCUGCGGCAGUUGGGCAGUCAGGCCCCAAUAGUCGCGCAUGCACCUGCUGGGCUGGGCCCGGAGUUGUGCACUUUGGUGCAAUAUCGGCUACUUAACCCGGACUUGUGACGCGGGGGGCCUUGACAUUGCGUCGCCAAGCCUUGACUUUGCCAAGCUGUGAUAGCGCCAGUCAUAUGGAGUGACACAUAAUUUAUCUGCAACACCCUUCGGCCUGCGGACUAGAACUCUACAAGCUUGCUCGGACAUCUGCAUCACAGCGAGACUGUGCAUGGCAACGUCGCUUGUCGCCUUAACGUCGAGCUCUCCAGCUGCAACAAGCCUCAAGCUGACACUGCGCCCAAGGAGCUGCAGUCGCAUGGACGACGACGACCCGGGACAGGUCGUUGGGCCCCGCUGGCCGCCGGGUGCCCCGGACGACCUGACCGUUCCCAUUAUCACCUCGUCUGAACCGGUGCUUGGUCCCAGGACUCGGGAGCACGCGACUGCAAGCCAACGCUGGUGUCGCCCCUUCCGGGCGGUUUGGAAUGCGCUGUCAGCUGUUGUCCACGUGGUGGUGCUGGGUGAGUGCUGUGAGGAAUGAAGCGACGGAGAGCGGGCGUCUGGCUGUGACGGCCAACAAGCGUUGCUGCAGGGGCCCGGAAUGGGGACUGUCCCACAUGGAGGACGAAACGUCUAACAAACCCAGUGUGCUGUGCCCGCAUUGACAGUUCUCCUUUGGUCUGCAUUGCGAACAAGAGCAUGGGCGCGGUCUGGACACACGGGGUUGUAUCUACGUCUGGCCCAGCCCGUCGCUGUGUCAGGUUGAACUGACUCCAAACGCGCCGCUCCUCGCCUAUCCCCAUGCAGUGUUUAAGAUCAUCCACAUUGUGUUGGCUCUAGCGGUCUACUCCAUGCUGCUGCUCCCAGGCUUUCUGCGGGUGAGGCAUAGCGCAUGUCGGGAUGGGUGGGUGGGGGCUAGGGUGGGGGUGCGGGGCACUGCAGCGUGGUCCCGCGUGCACGUUACGCGGUUACGUUGCAGUCAGCCGGCACUACCCAUUGCGCAUGUUGACCCCUGUCACCAACACCAAUGCCUCGCAGAUGAUAUACUACUACUUCUUCAACAAGUGUGUCGUGCGCGGCGUGUUGUACGGCGACAAGGUGUGUAUGUGUGUGUGAUAAAAGGGAAACGAAAGCCCGCCCACAGAGUGUGUGUUAAAGAGCACAAGAAAAACAUUACAGAGUGUGUGUGUGUGUGUGUGUGUGUGUUGGCCGGGGUUUGUGAAGGGUGUUCAAGUAGUCAAGUCCCAAACCCAGCCAACCGAGGCUCAAUGCUCGAAGCCAGCCCACAGAGUGGGGGCUGCGGAUGCGCGGGGAUUGUUGAUGCGGUCGGUGUCCGGUCGCGUGUUGCCUCCUGACGCUUUCGGCCUGUACCCACCCGCCGUGCAGCCCCGCCAGCGCUUGGAUCUCUACUACCCGCCCAGCAGCCGCGGCGCCCCGGCUACCACCGAGGGUGCCACGUACCCACUUGUCAUCUACGUCACUGGUGUGUGCGCGCGUGGGCGCGCAUGGGCGUGGACGGGCGCGCAUGGGCAUGCAACCUCCUUUGUCUGCACUCAUUUAACAGUGCGCUUCCCCAGGGAUGGCGCUACUUGCCCCUGCGCUUCCCGAGCACGCAGCGCCUGCCUGUAGCGUCACUAUGCUUACUAAACCUAACUCAUUUCGUCGAAUACAGGCGGCGCGUGGACCAUCGGCUACAAGGCCUGGGGCGCGCUGCUGGGCCGCCGCCUGAGCGAGCAGGGCGUGCUUGUUGCGUGCCUGGACUACCGCAACUUCCCCCAGGGGGACGCGCUCGACAUGCUGGAGGACGUCAACACCGGCAUCUGCUGGGUGCUGCGCCGCGUGCACCGCCUGGGCGGCGACCCCGACAACGUGACGCUGGUGGGCCAGAGCGCCGGCGGCCACCUGGCGGGUCUGUCGCUGCUGCGCCAGGCGGAGCAGGCGGCCAGCGGGCGGUCCGCGCUGGGCGCCACUCCGUCCUGGUCGCCGGGCUGCAUCAAGGCGUUUGUGGGCGUGUCGGGCGCGUUCGACCUGGUGGGACUGGCGUCGCACCGUGGCGGCACGUUCCGUGGGCUCCUGGAUCGCAUCCUGGCGGUGGAUGCCAGCGGCAUGAGCAGCGCUGAUGGCGGCGGAGGCGGCGCGGCCCGUGGCGUGGUGCAGGGCAUCGUGACCACAGCGGCGGUCAGUGCGUCGGAGGUGGCGGCGGCCGCCACGCUGUCGGCUGAGGACCGCGACGCCCCACCGCCUGGGGGGCCAGCGGUGCCCCCGGCGCUGCCUGACAUUGAGCAGGGCGGCGGCGGCGGCAGCGCUGCUGUGUCCUCUGCCAUCAUCGCCCAAGGAUCCGACAAGCACGGCGAGACGCCGCUGCUGCGGUCGCCCGUCAGCAGCUCAGCACCAGGCAGCCUUGCUGAUGGGCAGGCGCCAGCAGGUGCGGCGGCAGGUGGCGCGAUGGCGGGCACUCGCAGGGGUGGCACCCGGGUGCCCGCCUACGACGCGCUGUCGCCCCUGGAGGCCGCCCGCCGCAUGGGCUCCGACGCGGCGGCGCUGCUGCCGGAUGUGCUGCUGGUGCACGGCACUGCGGACAAGACCGUGCCGUGUGAGGGCAGUGCGCGGCUGGCGGAGGCGCUGCAGGUAGGGUGGGGCGGGCAGUGGCACUUGUGGUCAUGUGCACUCUCGAAUGCGGGCACACACCGUAUCACAUGACUUAUGUAGCUGACCGCGUACACAUGUCCUACUCGCAGGCUGCCGGCGCUACCCGCCCUGUGCGCUGCGUGCUUGUGCCCGGCAAGACGCACACGGCCUUCCUGCUGGAGGACCCCAUGCGUGGAGGCCGCGACCUGCUCAUGGACUGCGUGCUGGGGGCCGUGCUGGGGGGAGGCGAGGACGACCCCGCUAUUGGGGGCCGGGUGUACAGCAGCCUGUGCCCCGGCU